rnacentral:misc_RNA from 1 species
GGAAGUAAAAGUCGUAACAAUUUCUCCGUUGGUGAACCAGCGGAGGGAUCAUUACCGAGUUUUUCUACUCCCAAACCCCUGUGAACUUAUACCUUUACUGUUGCUUCGGCGGGUUAACGCCCCGGAAGGCCCGCGAGGGCCGCCGGAACCAGGCGCCCGCCGGGGGACCCAAACUCUUGUAUCUUUUUUAUAGCAUGUCUGAGUGGAAUCAUAAACAAAUGAAUCAAAACUUUCAACAACGGAUCUCUUGGUUCUG